AGCCGGCAGCCACCGCGGCGUGGCCCUCCCCUUCGAAGGCCUGCCUCAUGAAGACCACCCCAUGCCUCCCAGCAGCCGGAGUUCUUCGAUCCUCCCAGUGCAGCCAGCUCAGACGCCGCCCCCUCCUCAUGUGCCAGAUCUCGGUCGACGCGACGACGCCUAACCGAGGAAUUCUCCUCCUCGGCCAAGUCUGCUGCGCCAUCGCUCUCUUCACCGCCUGGAUCGGAGCCGCCAGCCACCACAUCGGGAUCGGAGACAGCGUCAUCCAUCAGGCGUGUAAAACUAGUUUAUGCCAUGAGUCAUGCAUCAUCCGUCAGAGACAUGACAAGCUAUCCAAGCUCUAUGUGGAGGCCUGCCGUGCAGAGAAAGGUUCCUAAUUCCCGCCGUAGUGGUGAGCACGUAGUCGUUGCAGCGGUACACACACGUGUAAUACCGAUACGUUGGAUCGCUGACCACACCACCGUGCAUCGAGAACAUCAUCUGAAACAUCCUCAGACAGGUGAGGGAGAUGACA